UCCCUGGUGGUUCAGUGGUUAAGACUGUACGCUUUCAAUGUAGGGGCCUUGGGUUUGAUACCUGGUCAGGGAA
rnacentral:tRNA from 1 species